rnacentral:rRNA from 1 species
UACAGAGGUCUCAAGCGUUGUUCGGAAUCACUGGGCGUAAAGCGUGCGUAGGCUGUUUCGUAAGUCGUGUGUGAAAGGCGCGGGCUCAACCCGCGGACGGCACAUGAUACUGCGAGACUAGAGUAAUGGAGGGGGAACCGGAAUUCUCGGUGUAGCAGUGAAAUGCAUAGAUAUCACGCAGAACCCCGAUUGCGAAGGCAGCUUACAAAUCUAUAUCGGACGCUGAGGCACGAAAGCGUGGGGAGCAAACAGG